GGAGGGAUAGCUCAGUGGUAGAGCGUAUGCUCAGCAUGCAUGAGGUCCUGGGUUCAAUCCUCAGUACCUUCU
rnacentral:tRNA from 1 species